UGGAGGGAGGUCAAAAACCGUUGGUCCCGAUUUCACCAUGAAACACUGAGAAUAAAAAAGAUUUAAAUGUUUUUAUUGCUGAUAUUUUGUCUAUUAACGCUUAUAAACAAUAUUUAAACAAAAAAGAUUAACAAAUGUUCAAAACCUGCGCGCGACACUUCUGUGUGUGCGUGUGUGUGUGACACGAGCGUGACGUCACGAGGGCCUCGUUUUUUUUAAGGAGGAGGAGGAGGAGGGUGGUCACGUGACUUUUGGCGUGGUGGUGGUGGUGAUGAAGCGAGGCAUCGGAACAUCUCACCGCCGCCGCUGCGAUACUUUAUCUCCGGGAGGUCGGAGCCGCUGCUGCUGCUUCUUCUUCUUCCACCGCCGUUUAACAAGAACCGGACGGAACCAAACCCCCCGACGACGGCCUCGGUUAGCGGCGGGCCUUGUGAGAGGACGUGCCGGGGAGGGGAGGACCUGCGGCGGCGGCGGAUGUGACAACAGUCCCGGACUGAGAGAGGUCGAGAACCGCCAAUUCCAGCUAGCUGCUGUCAGCUAACGCUGGCUACGCUGACUCCCCCGGCUUGUGCUCCUCCACCUCCUCAAGGACAGGAAGCCUUCAGAAGUAGGCUACAUCAUUUUCACAGGCUUGGUCGCCUCUUUGCCUCCUGUCCUUGUCAGAUAUGUGUCACCAGUUUUUUUACUCGAAGAAGAAGAAGCGGGGGGAGUUGUGGGAUGAGGUAGUAGUUUGUAUAGUUUUAGGAUCACACCAGAUCUGGGAGAUAACUAUACAGCCUACUGUCUUUCUCACGGCAACCAAACCAUCACCUACCUCCACAUGACGGAGACGAGCCAGCCCAAUCCGUGUCUUGCGUUCAGUUGCCACGGUGACUGAAGCCUCUGUUGCCGUUGGUGACCAUCAGUGCUCCAAAAUUACAUCACGAACAUUGGAUUCAUUUUGCUGGUGUCUUGCCGUCCUGGUGUGUCCCUGGCUGUUAACUACAUAUAUAUUUAUACAAAUCACACACUCGAUUCUCUGAUUGCUGUGCUGACGUGUCUGUAGCUGUGCUGUGGUGAGGUAGUAAGUUGUGUUGUUGUGGGGUGUGGGAUAUUGCAACCCCUAUUUUGGAGAUACAACUAUACAACUUACUGCCUUCCACAAUGUGGCAGCAUAAUGCGCUACGCUUCAGCUCCGGUGUCUGCGGUGAUUUGAGAUUUUAAGUAGAGAGGGUGUGUGUUGCAUGAGUAGAUUGAUUAUUUCGUUAUCGCUUCCGUUGGAGUUUUUAAAUUGAGCGGUAAUUCAUGCAAUCGUUGUGUUAUUAUGAAAGUUUUGCUCUGUGGUGUUCACUGAUCCAUCUGCUGAUCUAAAAAACGGUGUAACAAUGUUUAUAAGCAGAGCGUGGUGACGUCAGAUCAACGAAAUAUUCAGUUUAAAGUGAUUU